rnacentral:rRNA from 1 species
GCACAAUAAUUUGCCCUUUAAUUGUGGGCUGGAAUGAAGGGAUUUUCGAGACCAGUGCUUUAUUACCUAUAGAAAGAAAAUUAAUAUAUAAGUGAAGAAGCUUGUGUAAAAGUGAAGGACAAGAAGACCCUAGGAGCUUUACCUAACAGAGGGGUUGAACCCCUAUAAAGGUUUGGUUGGGGCAACCGUAACCCAUAGAAGCGCUUUCUAUUAAUAAAGAAAAGGCUUCCGGCCAUUCAAAAGACCCUUAAAGGUCGUAGAAGAUAGCUACCCUAGGGAUAACAGGCUAAUUUCUUUUGAGAGGCCGUAUUGACGAAGAAAGUUUGGCACCUCGAUGUUGGCUUAGGGUCCCCAGUGAGAGCAGCAUCUUACAAUGGUAGGUUUGUUCACCCUUUAAAACCC